GGCAAGAGAUGGUGAAGUGAGACUUGAGAAGAAUGUCUAAGAAUUGAAGUGGCUGUUCGGGGGAAUGGGGUGAGGAGCUAAGGAUUCCUGGAAGGACUGUGCCUGAGGAGGAAGAAGGAAGUAUCUGUCCCCUUCAGCUCCCAUACUGGUGGUGAAUCUCCACCUCCCAGCAGAAUCUCAUUACAGAAAUUCUCCAUAAUUAGAAAAGGACAACACUGGCUGUACAUGUUGAGGAGGUCAGAGCCUCUGUCUCCCUGGGUCCUAAACUGGUGAACUAGAGCAGACUCUUCCCACAUCAGCCACACUACCAGUUGGACUUGAUAUGAAUGAGAGAUAAACAUUAUGGUCCAGCACUAUCAACUACUCAAGUUUUGUCAGCCAAUGGAUGAAAACUGUUUGCUAAUAAUGAAAAGGAGGGCACAUAGAAAUGCAAUAGCUAUUUCAGAACAUUUCAACUCAGGGCAGGGCAGUAGCUCUCACCGGUCACACUGGGGGUAUACUGUGGAGUCUCUGACACUUCCCUUCUUACACAGUGUACUGUUCUGUAUGAUGUAUUCUCCUUUUUGACUUAGUAAUUUAUUUUAGAGAUGCAUAAUGUAUAAUAAAUAGACAACCUCCCAGAGCUGUAGAAAAGGAUAUG
rnacentral:lncRNA from 1 species